UACAGAGGUGGCAAGCGUUGUUCGGAAUUACUGGGCGUAAAGGGCGCGUAGGUGGCCUUCUUAGUCAGACGUGAAAUCCCCAGGCUUAACCUGGGAACUGCGUCUGAUACUGGAAGGCUUGAAUCCGGGAGAGGGAUGUGGAAUUCCAGGUGUAGCGGUGAAAUGCGUAGAUAUCUGGAGGAACACCGGUGGCGAAGGCGACAUCCUGGACCGGUAUUGACGCUGAGGCGCGAAAGCCAGGGGAGCAAACGGG
rnacentral:rRNA from 1 species